rnacentral:rRNA from 1 species
AUGAGUCGUCAACCUGAGGUGCUCUGGGCUCAACGUGCGGAAAAGGUUUACCUGACUAUCUCAGUCCCAGACGCAGAAGAUGUUGUGAUCAAGACUGAACCUCAGGGCAUCUUUAGCUUCUCAGCUGUUGCUCAUGGGGAAUCUUUUAGCUUGGCCUUGGAGCUAUUCGAUUCCGUACUGCCUGAGGGAAGCAAAACAAAGACAAAGGUGGGUUCGCGAAACAUAAUCUGUUCGAUCCAGAAAGAUAAGAAAUGUUGGUGGAAGCGGUUGCUGAAGUCAGAGGCAAAACAUCCAUACAUCAAAGUUGACUGGAACAAAUGGUGCGAUGAGGAUGAAGAGUCUGAGAAUUCGGGUUCAGACGAUGACUUUGAUGGUGGUGAGGAAAAUGACGAAAGCGAUGCUGAUGAUGGAAUGCUGUAUCUCCCUGACCUUGAGAAGCUGAGAGGGAAAUGA